ACACAUGCAAGUCGAGGGGCAGCGCGGGAUAGCAAUAUUCUGGCGGCGACCGGCGGAAGGGUGCGUAACGCGUGAGCGACAUGCCCGUUGCCCGGGGACAACCGGUGGAAACGCCGACUAAUCCCCGAUGGGAUACGAUGCUGCAUGGCAUUGUAUUGAAAGUUACGGCGGCGACGGAUUGGCUCGCGUCCGAUUAGCUGGUUGGCGGGGUAACGGCCCACCAAGGCUGCGAUCGGUAGGGGUUCUGAGAGGAAGGCCCCCCACAAUGGGACUGAGACACGGCCCAUACUCCUACGGGAGGCAGCAGUGAGGAAUAUUGGUCAAUGGGCGGAAGCCUGAACCAGCCAUGCCGCGUGCGGGAAGGAGGCCCUAUGGGCUGUGAACCGCUUUUGCCUGGGGGCAAUAAGGGCGUCGCGCACGCCCGAUGAGAGUACCAGGCGAAUAAGCAUCGGCUAACUCCGUGCCAGCGGCCGCGGUAAUACGGGGGAUGCGAGCGUUAUCCGGAUUCAUUGGGUUUAAAGGGUGCGUAGGCUGUGCGUCAAGUCGGGGGUGAAAUUCCGGUGCUCAACACCGGGGCUGCCCUUGAUACUGUCGCGCUGGAGUGCGGAUGCCGCCGGAGGAAUGAGUGGUGUAGCGGUGAAAUGCUUAGAUAUCACUCAGAACACCGAUUGCGAAGGCAUCUGGCGAAUCCGUAACUGACGCUGAGGCACGAAAGCGUGGGGAUAGAACAGGAUUAGAUACCCUGGUAUUCCACGCCGUAAACGAUGAUGGCUAACCGCCGGCGACACACUGUCGGUGGCCAAGCGAAAGCGAUAAGCCAUCCACCUGGGG
rnacentral:rRNA from 1 species